UACGCGGCGGGUGUCGAGCGAAAAAAACACACAGAGAGAAUGACCCACGAGAAAGGGAAAGGGGAAAACACCAAUCCUCGGGGCGCUGGACUUUUUCGACUUUUCCUUUAAAAAGAAAAAAAAGUUUUUCAAGCUGUAGGUUCCAAGAACAGGCAGGAGGGGGCCGAGGCGGGGGGUUUUACAGAACAGGCGGCCGGUCGGUUAUGAGUCACAAGUGGGUUAUAAAAGGGUCGCACGUUCGCUGGCGCGGGCUUCCUGUGCGCGGCCGGCCACGUCGGGCCGCCUGCAGCCUCGGGACCGGAGCAGACGCGAUCGCGGGGACAGCGGAGGCCGCCCGGGCCGCCAGGUGGCGCAGACCAGGAAGGGGAAAUCUCUGGUUUAAAUUCUUUGUGCCUCAUCCUCUGAAUGCUGGAGGCUUGCUGUAGGCUGUAUGCUGUUAAUGCUAAUCGUGAUAGGGGUUUUUACCUCCGACUGACUCCUACAUGUUAGCAUUAACAGGGUAUGAUGCCUGUUACUAGCAUUCACUGGAACAAAUUGCUGCCGUGGAAGGAUGACAAAGAAGAAUCAGUCACCCUGCUGGAUAAACUUAAGACUUCAGCCUUUAUUAUUUUUGUUAAUCAUAAUCUGGUCACCGAGAUGUUCCGCCUUCAGUUUUUAAGAGAGUAAGGUCAUUCGAAAGAUUUAUCAGCAGCAUUCUGAAUGCAAACACUUUUACGCGAAUCUUCAAGCCCACAUCUUUGUUUGGAUCUUUAGUGGAAAACGUAUUUGCGUCGUUUUUGAUUCAAAGUUAUGGUGUGUUGUUACUGUUCAGAAGCACUUUUCAUAACUCAACUGAAAGAAAUAUGGACUAAACACAUUCUGAAACAAAUUUCUAGAAUAUCUUCGUAGUUAAAAAUUAGAAGGACCCUCCAGUUACAUCAGGGAUGGUCCAGCAACAGUUUCAAACAGAUUUAUAAAUUGGCAUGUUUUUUCCUUCGUUUUGCAAUUUUCUAUUCAGACAACUUUAGUUUGAAGUUAGCACUUUUAUCUGAAUCUUAAGGGGGAAUUAUAAGGCUAUGACAAUGAGUGAUUUUUAGAAAUGAAAUAUUUUUACCAAUUAGCAUGGUAAAUGAUGUCUGAGAGAUAACCCCUCCCUUUUCCCUACAAGAUACAAAGGCUUAAUAAAAAAAAAUUUCAUAUUUGAAAUUAAGUUCCAAAUCUAGGUUCAAGUUUAAUGACUUGGCCACAUAAUUAUGUCGUGGGGGUCAAAGAAUCCACUUUUCCUCUCAAAGCCUGUGUCAGGAUUAGCCCCCAGGACGGGGCUAAUACUUUACAAGGUCGGUGUGAGGUUUAUGUGCAAAAGAACUAUUUUGUAAAAUAGAAAGUUACAUUAAUGUUAUAGUAAAAUUCAUCCAAGAACUAGCCCCCCACACACACACUUUGUUAGAGAAAAGCUAAUGAUUUGAUUUACAGAAUUUUUCAGGUUUGGAUUUCUCUGCAGUUUUUUUUUCCAUAAUUCACUAUAUCAUUUACAAAUAAAUAGUUAAUUAUAAUUGUUGGCAUAUUUAGUGUAUACUUGUAUUAGCAACUCUUUUCAACAUUUUGUCAGUUACACACUGUAACCAAAUAAACCUCUUUUAGUCACUUAG